rnacentral:rRNA from 1 species
GUAACGCGUGAGAAUCUGGCUUCAGGUCGGGGAUAACUACUGGAAACGGUAGCUAAUACCGGAUGUGCCGAGAGGUGAAAGGCUAGCUGCCUGAAGAUGAGCUCGCGUCUGAUUAGCUAGUUGGCAGUGUAAGAGACUACCAAGGCGACGAUCAGUAGCUGGUCUGAGAGGAUGAUCAGCCACACUGGGACUGAGACACGGCCCAGACUCCUACGGGAGGCAGCAGUGGGGAAUUUUCCGCAAUGGGCGAAAGCCUGACGGAGCAAUACCGCGUGAGGGAGGAAGGCUCUUGGGUUGUAAACCUCUUUUCUCAAGGAAUAAGUUCUGAAGGUACUUGAGGAAUCAGCAUCGGCUAACUCCGUGCCAGCAGCCGCGGUAAUACGGAGGAUGCAAGCGUUAUCCGGAAUGAUUGGGCGUAAAGCGUCCGCAGGUGGCCCUGAAAGUCUGCUGUUAAAGAGCAAAGCUUAACUUUGUAAAAGCAGUGGAAACUACAGAGCUAGAGUGCGUUCGGGGUAGAGGGAAUUCCUGGUGUAGCGGUGAAAUGCGUAGAGAUCAGGAAGAACACCGGUGGCGA